AUGUCUACCGGAACCCCAUUGUUUGUGGCGUCUGUUAUACUGGUGUGUGUAACGUUUUGGGGGUAUGUUAUGCAGCUGUAUGUGAUCCCGAAGGUAAUUUUGGGAUUUCUGAUGCCGCUCCUGCAGGAUCGCGGCUCAAGCUCAACCUACCGGGUCCGGUUCCUCAUGGAGUACAUCAUAGUACUAUACAUCCUAUUCAUACUUGACGCAAUCACAGGCGUACUGUUCUUGAGGAUUCCAUUGUACUACGAACUUGAGCUUGCCUUCAUCAUGUACCUAUGGCACCCCAGGACUCAGGGGGCUACCAUUGUGCUCAACAUGAUCCUCCUACCACUGGUAAUGGUCAAGUUCUUCACAGCGAGAGUUCAUGAUCUGCUCCUCACUUGUAUAUGGCUCCGGUCGGAGGCAGCUCGUACCCGUGCUCAUGCCCGUGAGAUGAGGCUGCAGAAGCUCCGGUUGGAAACUCGCCAUUUGUGGGGAAUGGAGACUUGUCUUAACAAGGUGCAUGACUUUUUGGAGAGCAGGCUAGCCCAUGAUAACUUGCUAGGGAUCUGGGGCGUGAGUGGAGUGGGUAAAUCUUCCCUUCUCAUGCAGCUGCGACAGUCUUACCGAAUCUUUGCUGUUUUCCACCAUGUGCUCUAUUUUGGGUUUGGCAGCAGAUCCACCGUGACGGAUGUGCAGCUUGCAUUGGGCGUAUGUUUGGGCUACAACUACGAAAUGAUGUCAUUGAUGGAUGAGAAGAGCCGGGCCCGCGUUAUCCAUCACAGUUUGUCAAACACCAGCUUCCUCCUGUUGCUAGAUGAGCUGGAGGCGCCUGUUGAUCUGGCGGCGGUUGGCCUGCGGAUGCCACUUGGGAAGUACCGGCACCAGAAGGUCAUCAUUGCGACGGGGAGCAAGGAUGUCUGUGCCCUCAUGGGUUGUGCUGCUGAUAACAUCAUCGAAAUAGGGUGUUUGGGGGAAGAUGAUGCCUGGAGCCUCUUUAAAAACAGAGUUGGGGAUGCAAUCAUUGAUGACCCUCGGAUUCAGCCGCUGGCCAAAGAGAUGGCUCAAGCCUGUGGAGGAUUGCCGAUAGCACUACGCACGUUUGCUGGGGCAAUGUCUGCGAUACAAGAUGCAGAUGGAUGGAGGUAUAUGUAUAAAUAUCUCCAGGCUCGGCUUCCAUUGUCACGAGAACAAUUUGCAGAUUUGUUACACAAUAUCAGGCACUGGUAG
rnacentral:rRNA from 1 species